rfam:Schistosoma mansoni, Puerto Rico, WGS project CABG01000000 data, contig: 0135
AUCCAGCUGACCAGUCCCAAAUAGGACGAAACGCGCAUCCUGGAU